rnacentral:rRNA from 1 species
AUUGAACGCUGGCGGCAUGCUUUACACAUGCAAGUCGAACGGUAACAGGCCGCAAGGUGCUGACGAGUGGCGAACGGGUGAGUAAUGCAUCGGAACGUGCCCAGUCGUGGGGGAUAACUACUCGAAAGAGUAGCUAAUACCGCAUACGAUCUAUGGAUGAAAGCGGGGGACCGUAAGGCCUCGCGCGAUUGGAGCGGCCGAUGUCAGAUUAGGUAGUUGGUGGGGUAAAGGCUCACCAAGCCAACGAUCUGUAGCUGGUCUGAGAGGACGACCAGCCACACUGGGACUGAGACACGGCCCAGACUCCUACGGGAGGCAGCAGUGGGGAAUUUUGGACAAUGGGCGCAAGCCUGAUCCAGCAAUGCCGCGUGCAGGAAGAAGACCUUCGGGUUGUAAACUGCUUUUGUACGGAACGAAACGGCUCUGGUCAAUACCCGGGGCUAAUGACGGUACCGUAAGAAUAAGCACCGGCUAACUACGUG